GCCUGGCUGACUCAGUCAGUAGAGCGUGUGACUCUUGAUCUCAAGUAUGGGUUCAAGCCCUGUGUUGGGUG
rnacentral:tRNA from 1 species